rnacentral:rRNA from 1 species
GAUGAACGCUAGCUACAGGCUUAACACAUGCAAGUCGAGGGGUAACGAGAGGGAAGCUUGCUUUCCUUGUCGACGACCGGCGGAUGGGUGAGUAACGCGUAUCCAACCUGCCCUUCAGUAAGGGAUAGCCUUUCGAAAGAAAGAAUAAUACCUUAUGUGAUCGUUUGAUGACAUCAGACGACGAUCAAAGAUUUAUCGCUGAAGGAUGGGGAUGCGUCCCAUUAGGCAGUAGGCGGGGUAACGGCCCACCUAACCUACGAUGGGUAGGGGUUCUGAGAGGAAGGUCCCCCACAUUGGAACUGAGACACGGUCCAAACUCCUACGGGAGGCAGCAGUGAGGAAUAUUGGUCAAUGGCCGUAAGGCUGAACCAGCCAAGUAGCGUGCAGGAUGACGGCCCUAUGGGUUGUAAACUGCUUUUAAACGGGGAUAAAGUGAGCCACGUGUGGUUUAUUGCAGGUACCGUUUGAAUAAGGACCGGCUAAUUCCGUGCCAGCAGCCGCGGUAA